AGUCCACAUGCCAAUGUAAAGUUAGGUUUUGUAUGAUCUGGGUGUUUUGUUGGGUCCAAUAUUUUCAACAACAGCUAGGCGUAUAUGCAUCGCUGGAAAGGAAUGGGUCUUUUGGCUAUCAAUUGUAAUUCAUUAAAAUUUUCGAAUUUAAAAAAUUUAGGGCACGUAGGAACAUUUUUGCAACCAAUAUAUACGAACUAACAGUAUGUAAAUGCAAUGUAAUUUACUUUUUCUUUUUCUUUUUUAACAAUAUUUUUUUUUCCAAGAAAAUUACGGUUCAAAAGAUAUCACACCUAAAUUUGGAAAGAAAUUGAGGAUGCAACAUCAUUUAUUUUACUAAUUUUUUUAGUUAUUAAUUUUGGAGUAGAGGUUAAUUCAUUUGAGAGUUUUAUUUGGCUUACCUCUAUUCAAGAACUCUUAAUUGAUUAAGAAUAUAAAAUAGGGAGUAAUAUUUGAUUAUCUUGUUGCAGUCAUAUUUGGGAAAAUAUCUUAUAUUCCUAUUAGGAUUAGAUUACCUAUUAAAUAUUGUAAUCCUAAAGGGAAAGGUUUUACCCUUCUUACUACUAUAAAUAAAGGUACAAUGGAGUGAAUCAAACACACCUCACAAUUAAAUCAAUCUCUUUUCUCUCUCAAUAUUGUCGAACCCCUCUCUCUCUAAACCCUAGAUCGUUCAAUCAAAUAGGCCUACAACACGUUAUCAGCACGAAAUUCAAAGGCUUAUUCGUUUUCCGCUAAUCAGAUACGCUUAAAAUAAAAGAAGAUAUUUGAAAUGUCCACAAAGCAUGAAAACAUUCCCCAUGAUGCAUGAACCCCUCUAUGUUUAUAUUUUCCUUUCGAUAUAUAUUGUAUAUGUUCAUAUAUUUGUCAAUAUAUAUAUUUGUUUCAUGCAUUGUGUUGAUGCACAAAACCGGAGGUCUUGGAAUAACGUAAAUCCAACCGUGAAUCUGCAUGAAAUGUAAAUGACACAAGAUGUAUCGUGGUUCACCCCAAGGUUUGGGCUACGUCCACACUGAUUGUAUUUAUCU
rnacentral:lncRNA from 1 species